GUACGUAGGGUGCAAGCGUUGUCCGGAAUUAUUGGGCGUAAAGAGCUCGUAGGCGGCUUGUCGCGUCGACUGUGAAAUCCCGCGGCUCAACUGCGGGUCUGCAGUCGAUACGGGCAGGCUAGAGUUCGGUAGGGGAGACUGGAAUUCCUGGUGUAGCGGUGAAAUGCGCAGAUAUCAGGAGGAACACCGAUGGCGAAGGCAGGUCUCUGGGCCGAUACUGACGCUGAGGAGCGAAAGCGUGGGAGCGAACAGG
rnacentral:rRNA from 1 species